ACAAUAUUGUUGAACGUGAUGAUUAAUAUAUAAGUCUCUUCGGUAUUUUAUCACUGUUUAAACCAUGAUAUAUUUUACAUGAUGGAUGAAAACAUGAUGAUUGGAAAUUACAUGUGGGUUUGGCCCUUUGUUUUACCUUGAUAAUGUCAAAAAGGGUUAUCCUAAUAAGCCUUGACUCAAGGGGAUGACCCGAAGAUCAAGUUCAAGUAAAUAGGCCUUCAGGCCGAAUAUGUGAAAUGGGCUUUCGAGCUAGACAUGUGAAAA
rnacentral:lncRNA from 1 species